GUGGUUGUUCCUCGUGUGGCUGCUGAGCUGAGCCGUGCUGUAGUCCUGGACGCCACGCAGAGCGAUGCUGGAUCCUGCCGACAGGGCCUGCCGAGGCCUCGGGAUCCCUGUGCGAUGGGUCCACACACA